UACGUAGGGGGCGAGCGUUGUCCGGAAUCAUUGGGCGUAAAGGGCGCGUAGGCGGAUAAUUAAGUCUGGUGUGAAAUAUAGGGGCUCAACCCCUAAACUGCAUCGGAAACUGGUUAUCUUGAGGACAGGAGAGGAAAGUGGAAUUCCACGUGUAGCGGUGAAAUGCGUAGAGAUGUGGAGGAACACCAGUGGCGAAGGCGACUUUCUGGACUGUAACUGACGCUGAGGCGCGAAAGCGUGGGGAGCAAACAGG
rnacentral:rRNA from 1 species